GGUAGAUGAAAUAGAACGAAAAGGAGAAUGGCAGAAUUCGUACAGCAUACUUUUUUUGGUGUUCCCUGAUAAAAUUUGUACCACUUAUUGAGGCAACUAAACCAUUCAUUUUUCUGUAAAAAUAAUAUUUUUAGAUGCUGGGGUUUAGCAAAUAUAUCAAUUAAAAGAUUUUAGUAACGAAACGUAAUAUAAUGAAACGAAACGUAAAAGACAUGUUUAGUUAGUUGCCAUUAAUAAAAUAUCAGAAGGCUCGAAACGAUAAAUAAAUAUUUUGAAAUAGAAAUAAUAGUAAAUAUAAUUAACCAAUUACAGGUUAUACCUUAGAAUAUAUAAUUAAUGCAUAUAUAUGCAUAGAAUCUUUAUAUUUAUAGGAAUUAUUUUUGCCAUCAAUAUUUUUUUUGUAAUGGCAAUCAUUUAUUGACAGGUUUGUAAAAUCUCUAAUCUUUCAAAGUCGUCCAGUUUUUUGCCGUUGUUUUGUUUUGGAUUGUAGCUUGUAACUUCAUCUCAACAAUUUAGCAAUUAUCUGGCCAUUUUUACGUUGAGUUGAGCAACUGCUUCUCCGUUCUCUAUCUGUUGAUACUACUUUCGCGAAAGGACGCUUUAUUAAUUGUGUUGUGUGUACGUGUUUUAUUGAAAAUGACGAGUUUGCAAUGCAUCAAUUGCUAUGUUCGCUUGUCCCGAAGAAGAAGACACGCUUUAUCCAAUGACGGUGAAGAUAUCGUCAACACUAUUCGUCUGUGGACAUAUCUUAGAGAUGUAAGUAGUUUCCACAUAACAUUGUGUGUACGAAUGGGCCAUAGUUACGAACUUCAAUAACUUUUACUUGUGAUAUCACACUAAAUAAACUGUAUUAUUUACUUGCCUUACUUGGUUUGCAUAACACUGUUAUAAUUUAUUAGUACCUAUUAUUUUGUUUAAUGGUGAGCCAUACUCAAAAUCAUUUAAUUAUUUCUAGAUUACACCAGAUGACCAUGUUUACCAUGAAUGCUUGCAGCUAGCUAGUCAUUCGUGUUCUUCUGAUAAUAUGCCGAGAAGACACAUAGGACAUCAGUGUUUGUGUUGUAUGUGGACAAUCCAUACUAAGAAUCAGGCAAUGCAGAAUUUUGAUUGAAGAAGAACAAAGAACGGCUUACACAAUGGCUACUUGGAUCUAACCACAACAGCUUCAUCCUGAAGAUAAAGCUUGUGUGCGGUGUUGGUUAAGAGUGAGAACUAAGGAUACUUCACUAAAUGAAGAUAUUCAAUCCGUUGAACCUAUAAUCAGCAGGAAAGUGAUAAUUCUGAACUGAUGUGUGCUGCAUGUGGUCAAAGUCUUACUCCCAACAACACUGCUUGUUUGUUGGAGCACCAGCAGACACCUUCGAUGAAUGAAGUUUGUGAAGUUUGCUGGGGCCAAGUAUGCAAUUUGAGCUUCUAUGUUCCAGAUGGUCUAUGUUGCUUCAAGCUAAAAUAAAGCCCUGCCACUCUUCUCCUGAAACUUAUUUUGUUUUCAUAGUUGCAGAAACAAAUAUGAAUAGCCGGGACACAAUCAAAAGUAAUUGCUGUAAUUGUAUUGUAGGUUUAAGAACAGUGGGAUGCUGCUCACAUAUUAUGAGCAUUCUUUGGUAUUUGAGUUAUGCUUGCUAUGAGGGUAUGACCCGACCUGCCCCUUUCUUGGAUGAAGUAAUAUUAAGAACCAAUCAAGUAAUUAUAGGAAAAUAAAGUAAAUGUAUUUCUACAAAAACUAUGUUGUUUUAUUUACCUACGCUCAAAACUCCAUCAGCACUUAAUCAUUAUCAAACUAUUGUAGACUGCUGCUGGACAUAGGUCACUCCUUAAGCACCCUACUGAAUGGGUAAAUUCUCAUGUCAAUUUAUCAACUUCCUACAUUCUUUUUCACUUAAACAAUGUUUAUGUGCUUAGUGCUUAUACGUGAUAAAGAACAAAGAGUAAUGUUGGGACCACCUCUCAAUAGUAAUGAGACACUCUUCUAUAGAUAAAUAUUCUCAAACUGAAUAAACUUACUAAAGUACUACAAUUAAGGUCAAAAGUCGGGUUUCGGAGUUAUACUAGGUAAGUAUCUUUUUUAUGCAAUAAGUUGGUAAACGAGCAGACGGAUCAUCUGAUGGUAAGCAAUCGCCGCCGCCCAUGUACACCUGAGGCGUUAGAAGUGCGUUGCCGGCCUUUUGGGGGUUCGGAAUUUAAGGGUUGUUAGGGAAGGGGUAAUUGCGCCUCCGGUAACCUCACUCACUCAACGAAAUACAACGCCAAUGCGAAACAAACUCUAGACAAUGAUGAUAGUAGCUUACUUUAUUAUAAGAUAAAUGUUCCAUAAGUCAUUUCUUAUCUUCCUACUCUUUCUCCUUCCGAAACACGAAGGAGACUUGCUAUGAUGGUCACCCAUCCACACACCAAAGUCGGCAAGGGUUGCUUAACCUUGGCGAUUGACCUGUGC